AGGGGGAUCGUCUAGAGGUAGGACACCUGACUUUGGAUCAGCCAACGGAGGUUCGAUUCCUCCUCCCCCUGCCU
rnacentral:tRNA from 1 species